ACGGGGCGCAGCAGGCGCGAAAACUUUGCAAUGUGCGAAAGCACGACAAGGUUAAUCCGAGUGGUUUCUGCUAAAGAAACCUUUUGUCAGUCCUAGAAACACUAACGAAUAAGGGGUGGGCAAGUUCUGGUGUCAGCCGCCGCGGUAAAACCAGCACCUCAAGUGGUCAGGAUGAUUAUUGGGCCUAAAGCAUCCGUAGCCCGUUUUGUAAGUUUUCGGUUAAAUCCAUGCGCUUAACGUAUGGGCUGCCGGGAAUACUGCAUAACUAGGAAGUGGGAGAGGUAGACGGUACUCGGUAGGAAGGGGUAAAAUCCUUUGAUCUAUUGAUGACCACCUGUGGCGAAGGCGGUCUACCAGAACACGUUCGACGGUGAGGGAUGAAAGCUGGGGGAGCAAACCGGAUUAGAUACCCGGGUAGUCCCAGCUGUAAACUAUGCAAACUCAGUGAUGCAUUGGCUUAUGGCCAAUGCAGUGCUGCAGGGAAGCCGUUAAGUUUGCCGCCUGGGAAGUACGUACGCAAGUAUGAAACUUAAAGGAAUUGGCGGGGGAGCACCACAAGGGGUGAAGCCUGCGGUUCAAUUGGAGUCAACGCCAGAAAUCUUACCCGGAGAGACAGCAGAAUGAAGGUCAAGCUGAAGACUUUACCAGACAAGCUGAGAGGUGGUGCAUGGCCGUCGCCAGCUCGUGCCGUGAGAUGUCCUGUUAAGUCAGGUAACGAGCGAGAUCCCUGCCUCUAGUUGCCACCAUUACUCUCAGGAGUAGU
rnacentral:rRNA from 1 species